rnacentral:rRNA from 1 species
AUACGGGAGGCAGCAGUGGGGAAUAUUGCACAAUGGGCGAAAGCCUGAUGCAGCAACGCCGCGUGAGUGAUGAAGGCCUUCGGGUUGUAAAGCUCUAUCUUUUGGGACGAUAAUGACGGUACCAAAGGAGGAAGCCACGGCUAACUACGUGCCAGCAGCCGCGGUAAUACGUAGGUGGCAAGCGUUGUCCGGAUUUACUGGGCGUAAAGGAUGCGUAGGUGGAUAUUUAAGUGGGAUGUGAAAUACCCGGGCUUAACCUGGGUGCUGCAUUCCAAACUGGAUAUCUGGAGUGCAGGAGAGGUAAGUGGAAUUCCUAGUGUAGCGGUGAAAUGCGUAGAGAUUAGGAAGAACACCAGUGGCGAAGGCGACUUACUGGACUGUAACUGACACUGAGGCAUGAAAGCGUGGGGAGCAAACAGGAUUAGAAACCCGAGUAGUCC